CCUGCAACCGAAGCCCUGGUACUCCGAAGCCUGGCACCCUUCUCCCCGAUGCGGGUCGCAACGAGGAAGCAGUUGCUCCUUGCGGUGAGCUAGGGAAGACAAGAAUGCGGCGAGCACUGGGCCCAAACCAGGGGUGGCGCCGGGGAUUUGUAUCUUAGUAAAGCUGCCGUGCAACCAGAUUUGGGAGUUUCCGGACUGGACGCCUGGAUCGCAUGCUGUCAAACCCAAGUCCCCCUUUCUGGAACAAAUAUUUCCUAAUGACCAGCAUACUCUCCUGUCAUGAAACUCAUAGGGAGCAGGAACUAUAUCUAUCUUGUUCAACACCAUUGUCCUCAGCUAGAACACAAGGCCUGGCACAAAGGAGGUGUACGAUAAACGUUGGUUGCUGACAUAAUCCAAAGGCUUCAGUCCCAACUCCUGGGUAGAAGCUUUCUUUAUUUCUGUGCCACUAGAGAUGCUAAAACCACCACUAAAUGGAUGAAGUUAACUACUUGAUGACCAUGAUGAGCACGUAGCCCCCAGACUGACAGGAGCCUCAGUAUUGAUAAUGUUAACCCCUGUGACACCGCCCUCUUACCUCACAUCAACCAAUCAGAGAAUUGUGUCCGAGCUGAUCACCUACCCUGGGAUUCCCCUUCCUCAACUUGCCUUUUAAAAUGCUCCCUGAAACCCACGGAGGAGUUCAGGUGUUUUUGAACAUUAGCUGUCCUGGACUCCUUGUCUGAUGCCUUACAAUAAACACUACACUUUC